CGUGUUCAAUUAUCUAGGAAAAGAACUCCCAAGAAAGCUUAUAGAAUUCGGUAAAUCAAUAGAUAGAACUUACAAUUGAUUAAAGGAAACGACGAUCUAGCGUAAUCCGAGAGUUUCUAAUGUGUUUCUCCCUACCAAAACUCUAAGAAAAUAAAGUGAAAAUACAGUUGGAGGCUGGAUGGGUCGAGAAUGGGCGCCCAAAACCCUAAAAAAUGGGUUUUAAACCCUCAAAAACGUAACUGGCAGACCGCGCAGGCGGCCAUGGCCGCCCGGGCGGCGGCCGCCGCCCGGCGGCGCCGCCGCCUAUGCCCUUCGCAGAAUGGACACGGCGGGCGCCGGCCACUGCAAUGCGCAGCGUUUUUGUUUUGGUCCGUUCUCCCUCGUUUCAAGUCGGAUUUUAGAUCCGUUUUCGCCUACGAACUCGUAUCGAGAUGAACUUCGAUUCUUCUUCAGACCAUUCAACUAAAUCCUGACUUUAUUUUUGUCCACAUAUCAAUCAAUUUGAGCAUAAAAUCCUGAGACAACAAAAUUAGCACAACAGCUCAAAUCAAUCAACUCUUGAGUGAAAGAGACCAAAAUAAAAGUCAAUAUAAGAUGUAAACACCCACAAAUUCAUCACAAAAUAGGGCUAAACA
rnacentral:lncRNA from 1 species